UACGGAGGAUCCAAGCGUUAUCCGGAAUCAUUGGGUUUAAAGGGUCCGUAGGCGGUUUGGUAAGUCAGUGGUGAAAGCCCAUCGCUCAACGGUGGAACGGCCAUUGAUACUGCCAGACUUGAAUUAUUAGGAAGUAACUAGAAUAUGUAGUGUAGCGGUGAAAUGCUUAGAGAUUACAUGGAAUACCAAUUGCGAAGGCAGGUUACUACUAAUGGAUUGACGCUGAUGGACGAAAGCG
rnacentral:rRNA from 1 species